UCUGAGAAAAAGGCGCCACGAUUACCCUUUUCGACGCAGUUAUCCAAGUUUUCAGGAAUGUAGUUAAAGGAAAAGAACGGAUUCCCUUAUAUAACAACAGAAAAAGGAGUUAUUAUCAUUAUCUUAUUGUACCUUAAUUCACAAAAAGGGCUAAAAUAUUGUCUGCAAAUCGACAUACAUAUAUCAACUUAACUUACUAUUAUGUUAUUGGGCGUUAUCAUACCUUACAAUAUACUUGAGGAACAUGAAUUUAGGAAUGACAAUGACAAUUAAAAUGACAACAACAAUAGGGUCGAUCAUAUUUAAAUUUUCAAAGUAAUUAGCAACGACUCCGAUGUAAGGUCACACACAGACGAAAAGCAAAAUUGCAAACUUAGCAGUAGUAACACAUUAUUCAAUAUUAAAAAUAUCCCUAAAAUACGAUGGCGCUAUUGAGCGUUAUCAUUUCUAAAUUUAAUUUUAAAUGUACUUGAGCCGAGAAACGAAACGACAACUGAAAUGAAUUUCAAGCUUCAAAGAAUAGCUGGUUUAAAGCUAAGUCAGCCCUUUCUUGUAAAGAAAAGUAAUGACGGAAGGCCAAGAUAGAGGAGGAGUAAGGUCACUAUCAACUGAUGUUAUGUAAACAAAGGCACAGCUGAGAGGUGCCACUGUAGAAACGCCAAGUGUAGUCCGGGGUUGAGUUUCUAUUUGAAUCCAAGAUGACCGACUUUUAACCGGAAAAUGGUUGCAUUGUGUUAUUUUCUUAAAAUUUAUGGAAAAGUUGUCCCAAAAAUAUUGGUUAUAUGUAAAAGUUUAAUAUAUUUUCAAAAGAAAAUCGUUUUAUUUUAAUAUACAUAUAUUCUUAAAGAUGAGAACAAUAUGAGCAAAUACAUGAAAAAUUAAGUUUUUUAUUUAUGCCUCUUUUUAACUGUGGUAAGUCAAUAAAUGUUCACCACAGAAAAAUGUUACGAACAAAUAAGUAACCAUGCCGAAUAGUGGGGUCUAGAUUAUGCUCAUUCACAGCCAUAUUUACAUUUUUGCCAUCGUAACGAAGGUAUUUGUAAAGACAAUUUGUUUUAGUUUAUUUCAUGGUUAAAUCCUUUGCGAUGGUUUAUUUAGUUAUUUGAAUCUAUAAAAAGUGUUUACAAUUUUCAUGGGACGAUAAACAACAGAUCGGCUGCGAUUUUAUUCCAUUAAAAGUACGAAAUAACCAAACAUGGCCACGUUAAUAUUGCUGCGUAAUGGGUCUGGUGCUGUUACAAUUUUAUGAUUUAAGGUUGGUACGCAGCUCUCAAGUAAUUGCUCAAGAACAAAAAUACAUUAUUUCUCAAGUAAUUUUGACAGCUGGUUACGCAUUGUGAAUGAUCCACAUUAGAAGAGCAAGAGAGAAUAAACAAAGUAAACAAACUUUGUGCGUAUGUAUGUGUAUGGUAACACAAAUAUUUUCAUUGAGAUUUAAGGAAUGUUGUUGAUGAUUGGUUGGUUUUAUACAACAUUUCAAAAUGGAACAUACUUUAUAAUAAUGAUUUCAACUAAUUUAGGCUGAAUUUGACGAUUACUUCGAAUUUCCUGCAAAAAACAAUUGUUGAUUUGAUGUUUCUUCGCAAAACCAGGUUUGCCAUAUUCACAUUUUAUUGAAAAAAAGUAUUAAAAAUUAGUACUAGCUUUCUUAAGAGCUGCGUACUAGCACAAGUAACUUUAUCGCAGGAACGUUUCUGGACCGUUUCUUAAGCGUUUUUUUAUAUGAAGUUUUUACGUUUCUUGAGAGCUGCGUACUAAGCUUUAAAAAAAAAAGCGAUACGCGAUGCUGUGAAGUACUCAAAUGUAGUUAUCAAAUUAGUUGGUCGUGAAUUCGAGACAAAAUUUUAAAUUCAAUGGCGUUCUCGUGUAAGAUGCUCAUCGCAUUGCUAGAAUCAGCAAAGGAGCUGGUAUAGAACGCUAGUCCCAAACCAAUGAGCUUUGUGCUUGAGGGUGGAAGCAACUUUUUGAAGAGCAAAUACUACGGUGAGCACAUUCGGAUGUUGCAUAACCUAUUGUAAAUUGCGCUUAGAAUCCCGGUACUGCUGGUCAGGUUUAUCAGGCUGUUGGACCAAAGCGUUACCAGUUGAGCGAAUUAAUUGACUGGUUUCAUCGUGUUAAGCGUAAAGAUGAAAAAUGGUGGGGAUACCGUCAUUAAGACAUGUGUUGUAAUCCUACCUUCUUAUUGAAAGCCAAGUUCACGAAUGUAUUACCGAUGUCGUUCCCUCCAACAUACCGUGGUUGUAGAAUUUUGGUGUACAAUCCAUGGAAGAGCAAGUACCAUGAGAAUUAUGACCAUAUCGUGCUGCGCAAUAUCAUGAUGCCGAAUUGGGGAGUGGGGAGAACCAGCUCCACCAAAACCGAUAGAACAUCGGGAUGAACUACGCAAAUAAUAAACAACACUCAUCAAAUGAAAGUUGGCAGCGUUGGUGACUAAGCAGCGAUUUGAAAAAGAAACAUUUGCAUCUACGCGAAUUACAAUUCGUCUUUACAUCUAGUGAAUUAUGGUCGAUUAUGAAUGGUGUGGAAGUUGAUAUUUAAACUUUGAAAAACAAAUAAAUGUAAUUUGGCUAAUAUUGAUAUUUAAACUUAAAAAAAAAAAAUAAAUGUAAUUUGGCUAAUAUUGAUAUUCAAACUUUACAAACAAAUAAAUGUAAUUUGGCUAAUAAUGAGCCGCUAUUAAAAGUUAAGGAAUUUGAGUUGUAUUUUUAAUUGGGCCAAACAAGUUAUUAUCGAUUUGAAUAACUUCAAACGGAAUAUAUUUCGAACAAUCAUUUAUUUUUUUAAAUACUAUGCCGGUAUCGCUACUGAGCAUGGCAAAAUAGUGUUGCGUGAGCUAAUUUAAACUACUUUUUACUACUAUAUAGAUAUUGCAAAUUCAAAAAUUAAUUUCUUUAAGAAUCCUUUUUAUUUAAAAACUUAGCUUAGAACUAAAAAAUAGUGUGGUAAAUCUGUUAGGAUAAUCAAACACUCCAUUUGGGAAUGAGUAGGAUUCCUGAUCGCCGGCGUAUAGCUAAAUUCUGACAUUUAAAACGUGUACGUAGUUUGUGAUUACAAAAAUUUAUAAUUAAAAUAUAGAAAACAUGGCUAUUAUAAUUAUCUCUUGAUUUAUCUUACAAUAAAAAAAUGUGUUUUACUGUUCAGACGAA